ACAUUGAUAUUAUUGCAGUCCGCCUUCAAGAAAAAGGUCUCGUCAAGAAUUGAGUCUUAGAUUUGACGACCCCCCAGCUCUUCUGAAAUAAAUUUACGAUAUCUGCGCUUCUGGUAUGAUUCUCUUGAGUGUCUACGUCAAAGAUCGCGCGCGUUUUUUUAAGAGGGACAUAAUUCCGGAUAUCGCCGCUGAAAGUGCAGUACAAUACGUUGACGACUUCAGUGAUGAAGGGCGUGCUUUGGGCGAUAGUUUUCUUGAUAAAUUCAUUAAUGCUGAAAAAAAUGGACAGACAUGGGCAGGAAAAUUGAGAGCACGUGAUUUUGCAGUGUUUGAUGAAAGAUUAGUGUCGCUCAAACCACUAAAAUCAAAUGCAAGCCAAGAAGAAUUGCGAAUGGAUAAAGCAGCGUUAGUACAUUAUCUUUGACAAAUUUUCUGCAGCUCUAAUAGAUCAUUACCGUACAUUGUGGAAUUCCUUAAAUUUCUGAAAAAGGAUGAAAAUCGUAUGUGUCCAAAGUUGCUGCUGUAUAAGAGACGGUCGUUGAUAUUCAUGACACCUUUGGAAAGAGGUGAACCUGCAUACUUAUUUGUUGUGUCCUAUUAUCAGUAAUUUAAAUUAUUUCAAUUUCGAAUUCUAACUAGAUCUUUGCAUAGUUUUCUGCUGUAGUUGCCUGAAGGUUCUUUACUCACUUUCUUUGUACCCUAUGUUGCUUAUCCUGAUAGUGUUUGCAGCUAUUUCAGAAGAGCUGGGGGGUCGUCAAAUCUAAGACUCAAUUCUUGACGAGACCUUUUUCUUGAAGGCGGACUGCAAUAAUAUCAAUGUUCAGAUGUAAGGAAAUAAAAAGAACAGACAGACAAAAAGAUAAGUUGAUCAAUUGCACACCAAGGAAUUACAACAACUACAGUACCUAUCAGCCCCUCCGAGGAGUCGUAACAUUAACUGGACAGUUGCAUUAUAAGACAGUUUGUAGUCUUUGAGAGUAACAUUAUCUUGAAGAUAUUGUCCUCCUGCACGCAGUGUAAAUAGAUC
rnacentral:lncRNA from 1 species